GAACCUUACCUGGCCUUGACAUACUAAGAACUUUCCAGAGAUGGAUUGGUGCCUUCGGGAACUUAGAUACAGGUGCUGCAUGGCUGUCGUCAGCUCGUGUCGUGAGAUGUUGGGUUAAGUCCCGCAACGAGCGCAACCCUUUUCCUAUUUGCCAGCGGGUUAAGCCGGGAACUUUAAGGAUACUGCCAGUGACAAACUGGAGGAAGGCGGGGACGACGUCAAGUCAUCAUGGCCCUUACGGCCAGGGCUACACACGUGCUACAAUGGUCGGUACAAAGGGUUGCUACCUCGCGAGAGGAUGCUAAUCUCAAAAAGCCGACCGUAGUCCGGAUCGCAGUCUGCAACUCGACUGCGUGAAGUCGGAAUCGCUAGUAAUCGCGGAUCAGAAUGCCGCGGUGAAUACGUUCCCGGGCCUUGUACACACCGCCCGUCACACCAUGGGAGUUUGUUGCACCAGAAGUAGGUAGUCUAACCGCAAGGAGGACGCUUACCACGGUGUGGCCGAUGACUGGGGUGAAGUCGUAACAAGGUAGGCGUAGAUGA
rnacentral:rRNA from 1 species